rnacentral:rRNA from 1 species
AUUGAACGCUGGCGGCAGGCCUAACACAUGCAAGUCGAACGAGUGGCGGACGGGUGAGUAAGGGCUGGGAAACUGCCUGAUGGAGGGGGAUCACUACUGGGAACGGUAGCUACUACCGCAUACCAUCAGAUGUGCCCAAAUGGGAUUAGAGAGUUGGUGGGGGAACGGCUCACCAAGGCGACGAUCCCUAGCUGGUCUGAGAGGAUGACCAGCCACACUGGAACGGAGACACGGUCCAGACUCCUACGUGAGGCAGCAGGGGGGAAUAUGGCACAAUGGGCGCAAGCCUGAUGCAGCCAUGCCGCGUGUAUGAAGAAGGCCUUCGGGUUGUAAAGUACUUUCAGCGGGGAGGCGUUACCCGCAGAAGAAGCACCGGCUAACUCCGUGCCAGCAGCCGCGGUAAUAC